AACGAACGCUGGCGGCAGGCUUAACACAUGCAAGUCGAACGGGCAUAGCAAUAUGUCAGUGGCAGACGGGUGAGUAACGCGUGGGAAUCUACCCUUUUCUACGGAAUAACGCAUGGAAACGUGUGCUAAUACCGUAUAAGCCCUUACGGGGAAAGAUUUAUCGGGAAAGGAUGAGCCCGCGUUGGAUUAGCUAGUUGGUGGGGUAAAGGCCUACCAAGGCGACGAUCCAUAGCUGGUCUGAGAGGAUGAUCAGCCACAUUGGGACUGAGACACGGCCCAAACUCCUACGGGAGGCUG
rnacentral:rRNA from 1 species